rnacentral:rRNA from 1 species
CCCCACUGCUAUCGAGGUGAGACUUAGCCAGGCCAGUCGAACGACUCGGACUAUGGCGAGAAGUGGCAAACUGCUCAGUAACACGUAGCUAACCUACCCUCAGGACGGAGACAACCCCGGGAAACUGGGGAUAAUCCCCGAUAGGUGGGGGUACUGGAAAAGUCCCUCUCCCAAAGCUCCGGCGCCCAAGGACGGGACUGCGGCCCAUCAGGUAGUUGGCGGGGUAACGGCCCACCAAGCCGACAACGGGUACGGGCUGUGAGGGCAGGAGCCCGGAGAUGGAGACUGAGACAAGGCUCCAGGCCCUACGGGGCGCGGCAGGUGCGAAAACUUCGCAAUGCGCGAAAGCGUGACGAGGGAACCCCAAGUGCCGAUGGUCUUUUUGAUCGUCGGCUUUUCAAGAGUUCAAAAAGCUCUUGGAAUAAGAGCUGGGUAAGACUGGUGCCAGCCGCCGCGGUAACACCAGCAGCUCAAGUGGUGGUCGCGAUUAUUGGGCCUAAAGCGUCCGUAGCCGGGCCAGUAAGUCCUUUGUGAAAUCGGACGGCUCAACCGUUCGGCUUGCAGGGGAAACUACAGGCCUUGGGGCCGGUAGACGUUGAGGGUACUCCGGGGGUAGCGGUGAAAUGCUCUAAUCCCUGGGGGACCACCAGUGGCGAAGGCGCUCAACGAGAACGGACCUGACGGUGAGGGACGAAGGCUAGGGGAGCGAACCGGAUUAGAUACCCGGGUAGUCCUAGCUGUAAAGUAUGUUGGCCAGGUGUAGGGCGCUCCACGAGGGCGCCCGGUGCCGUAGGGAAGCCGUUAAGCCAGCCGCCUGGGAAGUACGGUCGCAAGGCUAAAACUUAA